UACGUAGGGGGGCAAGCGUUGUCCGGAAUCAUUGGGCGUAAAGCGCGUGUAGGCGGCCCGGUAAGUCCGCUGUGAAAGUCCAGGGCUCAACCCUGGGAUGCCGGUGGAUACUGUCGGGCUCGAGUCCGGAAGAGGAGUGUGGAAUUCCUGGUGUAGCGGUGAAAUGCGCAGAUAUCAGGAGGAACACCGAUGGCGAAAGGCCAGGUCUCUGGGGCAUUAACUGACGUGAGG
rnacentral:rRNA from 1 species